UGACCUAAAGCUGGGGAUAACGGAUGGAAACAUACGCUCAUACCCAAUAGACCUGUGAGGUCGCACUCAUAGGUAAAGCUCCGGCGCUUUACGAUGGGCCUGCGGCCCAUCAGCUACUUGGUAGGGUAACGUGCCUACCAAGGCGAAGACGGGUAGGGGGUGUGAUGAUGCACGACCCCCCACAAUGGGACUGAUACACGGUCCAUACUUCUCCGGGAUGCAGCCGCAGGGACUAUUGCACACUGGACACAAGUCUGAUGCAGCGACGCCGCGUGGCUCACGAAGGCCCUCGGGUCGUAGAAUCCUUUUCACGGGGACGAGGAAGGACGGUACCCCUGGAAUAAGCGUCGGCUAACUACGUGCCAGCAGCCGCGGUAAGACGUAGGACGCAAGCGUUAUCCGGAUUUACUGGGCGUAAAGCGUCUGUAGGCGGCUCGAUCAGUUGGGCGUGAACGCUCCGGGCUUAACCCGGAGAGGUCGUACAAUACUGUCGAACUAGAGGACAUCAGAUGAGCAUGGAAUUUCCGGUGUAGCGGUACAAUGCGCAGAUAUCGGAAGGAACACCAGUGGCGAAGACGGUGCUCUGGGGUGGGCCUGACGCUGAGAGACGAAAGCUAGGGGAGCGAACAGGAUUAGAGACCCUGGUAGUCCUAGCCCUAAACGAUGGAUGCUAGGUGUGGGGCCGAGAAGGCUCUGUGCCGCAGUUUACGCGCUAAGCAUCCCGCCUGGGGAUUACGGCUGCAAGGCUAAAACUCAGACGAAUUGACGGGGCCCCGCACAAGCAGCGGAGCGUGUGGUUUAAUUCGAUGCUACACGAAGAACCUUACCUGGGUUUGACAUGUACGUGGUAGAGAAGCGAAAGCGGAUCGACCCUUCGGGGAGCGUACACAGGUGCUGCAUGGCUGUCGUCAGCUCGUGCCGUGAGGUGUCGGGUUAAGUCCCGUAACGAGCGCAACCCUUGCCCUUAGUUACAAGUGUCUAAGGGGACUGCCGGCGGUAAGCCGGAGGAAGGUGGGGAUGACGUCAAGUCAGCAUGGCCCUUAUAUCCAGGGCUAUACACACGCUA
rnacentral:rRNA from 1 species